AGUGAACGCUGGCGGUAGGCCUAACACAUGCAAGUCGAACGGCAGCACAGUAAGAGCUUGCUCUUACGGGUGGCGAGUGGCGGACGGGUGAGGAAUACAUCGGAAUCUACUUUUUCGUGGGGGAUAACGUAGGGAAACUUACGCUAAUACCGCAUACGACCUACGGGUGAAAGCAGGGGAUCUUCGGACCUUGCGCGAUCGAAUGAGCCGAUGUCGGAUUAGCUAGUUGGCGGGGUAAAGGCCCACCAAGGCGACGAUCCGUAGCUGGUCUGAGAGGAUGAUCGGCCACACUGGAACUGAGACACGGUCCAGACUCCUACGGGAGGCAGCAGUGGGGAAUAUUGGACAAUGGGCGCAAGCCUGAUCCAGCCAUACCGCGUGGGUGAAGAAGGCCUUCGGGUUGUAAAGCCCUUUUGUUGGGAAAGAAAAGCAGCAGGUUAAUACCCCGCUGUUCUGACGGUACCCAAAGAAUAAGCACCGGCUAACUUCGUG
rnacentral:rRNA from 1 species